rnacentral:rRNA from 1 species
UAGGGAAUAUUGCACAAUGGGCGAAAGCCUGAUGCAGCAACGCCGCGUGUGCGAUGAAGGCCUUCGGGUCGUAAAGCACUUUUCUGAGAGAUGAGAAAGGACAGUAUCUCAGGAAUAAGUCUCGGCUAACUACGUGCCAGCAGCCGCGGUAAAACGUAGGAGGCGAGCGUUAUCCGGAUUCACUGGGCGUAAAGCGCGUGCAGGCGGUUCGGUAAGUUGGGUAUGAAAUCUCCUGGCUUAACUGGGAGAGGUUAUCCAAUACUACCGGACUAGAGAGUGGUAGAGGCAGAUGGAAUUCCAGGUGUAGUGGUGAAAUGCGUAGAUAUCUGGAGGAACACCAGUGGCGAAAGCGAUCUUCUGGACCAUUUCUGACGCUCAGACGCGAAAGCUAGGGUAGUAAACGGGAUUAGAGACCCCGGUAAUCCUAGCCGUAAACGAUGUAAACUUGGUGUCGGUGGCUUUAACUCCUUCGGUACCGAAGCUAACGCGAUAAGUUUACCGCCUGGGGACUACGAUCGCAAGAUUA